AUGCUUAACACAUGCAAGUCGAUUCGAUUUACCUUCGGGUAUUGAGGAUGGCGGACGGGUGAGUAACGCGUAAGGAACUUGCCUCUUGGUCUGGGACAACUGUUGGAAACGACAGCUAAUACCGGAUAUUAUGAGAUUCUCGCAUGGGAAACUUAUGAAAGCUAUAUGCGCCAAGAGAGAGCCUUGCGUUCCAUUAGCUAGUUGGUGGGGUAACGGCCCACCAAGGCGACGAUGGAUAGCCGGCCUGAGAGGGUGAACGGCCACAAGGGGACUGAGACACGGCCCUUACUCCUACGGGAGGCAGCAGUGGGGAAUAUUGGACAAUGGGCCACAAGCCUGAUCCAGCAAUUCUGUGUGCACGAUGAAGGUCUUCGGAUUGUAAAGUGCUUUCAGUUGGGAAGAAGAAAGUGACGGUACCAACAGAAGAAGCGACGGC
rnacentral:rRNA from 1 species